AAUAAGAAUUUAAGUUAAUUAAACUAAUAGCCUUCAAAGCUGAAAAUAUUUGUAUUACUCUUUUAAUUCUUA
rnacentral:tRNA from 1 species